AUUUAUUUAGUAUAUUAGUACAUUUGACUUCCAAUCAAAUAGAUUGAAAUCUUUCAAAAUAAAUA
rnacentral:tRNA from 1 species